AACGAACGCUGGCGGCAGGCUUAACACAUGCAAGUCGAACGCCCCGCAAGGGGAGUGGCAGACGGGUGAGUAACGCGUGGGAAUCUACCCAGAUCUACGGAACAACAGUUGGAAACGACUGCUAAUACCGUAUACGCCCUACUGGGGAAAGAUUUAUCGGAUUUGGAUGAGCCCGCGUUGGAUUAGCUAGUUGGUGGGGUAAUGGCCUACCAAGGCGACGAUCCAUAGCUGGUCUGAGAGGAUGAUCAGCCACACUGGGACUGAGACACGGCCCAGACUCCUAAGGGAGGCAGCAGUGGCGAAUAAUGGACACCGGGCGCAAGCCUGAACCAGCCAUGCCGCGUGAGUGAUGAAGGCCUUAUGGUUGGAAAGCACUUUCACCGAUGAAGAUAAUGACGGUAGUCGGAGAAGAAGCCCCGGCCAACUUUGUGCCAGCCGCCGCCGUAACAC
rnacentral:rRNA from 1 species